AUUGAACGCUGGCGGAAUGCUUUACACAUGCAAGUCGAACGGUAGAGGGGGCAACCCCUCGAGAGUGGCGAACGGGUGAGUAAUAUAUCGGAACGUGCCCAGUCGUGGGGGAUAACGUAGCGAAAGUUACGCUAAUACCGCAUACGAUCUAAGGAUGAAAGCGGGGGAUCGCAAGACCUCGCGCGAUUGGAGCGGCCGAUAUCAGAUUAGGUAGUUGGUGGGGUAAAGGCUCACCAAGCCAACGAUCUGUAGCUGGUCUGAGAGGACGACCAGCCACAUUGGAACUGAGACACGGUCCAGACUCCUACGGGAGGCAGCAGUGGGGAAUUUUGGACAAUGGACGCAAGUCUGAUCCAGCCAUUCCGCGUGCAGGAUGAAGGCCCUCGGGUUGUAAACUGCUUUUGUACGGAACGAAAAGGCCUCUCUUAAUACGGGGGACUCAUGACGGUACCGUAAGAAUAAGCACCGGCUAACUACGUGCCAGCAGCCGCCGCGGUAA
rnacentral:rRNA from 1 species